UUUUUUUUUUUUUUUUUUUUAGUAGAGACAAGGUCUUGCCAUGUUGCCCAGGGUGGUCUAGAACUCCCGAGUUCAAGGAAUCCUCUGCCUCCCAAAGAGCUGGGAUUACAGGUGUGGAUGAGCCACUGUGCCAGGCCCCAGGGCAUAUCUUUAUAAGCAGCUUUUAAGUCCACAGCCUUAAUACAUUAUUGAAUUUUCUGGAUCUCAGAUUUUCAGUCUUUUAGGGACAACUAUGCUGCUGGGUCCCCAGCCAAAGCCACCUUGAUGACAAAAGGAAAAGAGACUAAGUGGAAGAAAUGAGAAUCAAACAUAAGUCUGUUUCCAGAUAAGUACUAUUUAAUGGAAAUGAAGGCCACAUAUAUAACUUAAAAUUUCCUAGUGAUCACAUUUAAAAAAACAGGUAAAAUUAAUUUUAAUAGUAUAUAUAUAUAUUUUUUGAGACAGGGUCUCAUUGUGUCACGCAGGCUGGAGUGCAGCACAGAGAUGACGACUCACGGCAGCCUCCACCUCCCACUCCAGCAAUCCUCCUACCUGAGCCUUCGGAGUAACUGGGACCACAGGCACGUACUACCAUGCCCAGCUAACUUUUUUUUAACUUUUUGUAGAGACAGGAGUUUCCCUAUAUUGCCCAGGCUGGUCUCCAACUCCUGCUCAAGCGAUCCUCCCACCUCAGCCUCCUAAAGUGCUGGAUCACAGGUGUGAGGCACCAUGCCCGGCUUACAUUUUCUUUACUGCAAUAUAUCCAAAAUAUUUCAAUGUGCAAUCAAUACAAAAAGUGAUCAGAGAGGUAUUUCACAUUCCUCGAACUGACACCCGUGCGUAUUUUGCACUUCCAGUGCCUCCUAAACGAACUAGCCUCAUUUCAAGUGCUCAGUGGCCCUAAGUGGCCAAGGGGCUACCCUAAUGCACAGGGCAGGUUUAAGGACAGGUCCUGUGCUUUUCCCACUCGGAGUCACUAGUCCUACUAGACAUUCUGUGAAAAAGGGGAAAGCCUUUGUGAAACUUCCUGACGACUCACAAAUGCGUAUUACAUUUAAGAGUUUAAAACUUUGGUUAAUGCAGCGUCCUGUAUUUGAUUGUUUCCCUCCUCCUCUCCACUAACCCCCUAUGUGACACCGUAGAACUUAUAAUUCGUUAUAAUUCGCAGAUGGAGGGCAUAUGAGAGAGGAGGCUCUGCCUCAAAGACUUUCUCACACUUUUGCCGAGAGGUCGCGACAAGGUAGACUUCCAGGUCCCACCCGAGAUAGAUGACGGGCUGGAAACACAGUCAAGGGAAAAUUAUGACCAAGACAGCCUUUGCUAAAAUGCCAGCGGUGACUGCCAUUGAUGUUCCUAUAAAACAGGUCAGCUCUGUCAGGAAGUUCCAGUGCAUCAUUUGUUCAAAAGUAAAAUCAGCCCGUGUUCCUGUAUUCGGGGACUGUCCUCACAGUCCUAACCUACACAUUUAUUAGCUCAACAAAUAUUUCAGAGCCUGGGUCAGGCAUCACGUGUUAAAACAGACGGAAAGCUCCAUCUGGGUCCACUGGGUGGGACGCAGUCUGGGAGGGAAACGGAGUACUGGGGACAUGUUUUCGUCGGCUGUGGGAUAAGACCUCGCGCCGUGUCACACGCGGCCGGCACCGCUGCCCGGUAAAGUACUUGUUACUUUGCAGUCGAGUACGAAGCGGCUGACUAACCGGUUCCAACCCAAGGCAGCGACUCCUGCGAGUCGUUCUAAGCGCCGCGCUGUGGGGUACACACGGUGCACGCGUGGGUGCCUCAGCCCCCUGGCAGCGCCUUCAGGGACGCCGCUCCAGGAAAGAGCAGCCGCCGCGACCUCAGGCGGCGGGAAAGGUGGGACCUCACAAUGCGCCGGAAGCGGUGCCUCGUGGGCUUGGGAUCUCUCCGGGUUCUUCCUUGCGCCGUCCACGCCGCACUGCCCACGAGAGCGUCCCCGCCCAAGGCACAACUCACCUCCCGGAGCCUCCCUGACCGUUCCCUUCCACCAUCUGACACCCACAACUAAGCAGGAGAAGACCGGCGUGGUAAUUGCCGCGCCGCCGGCGGCGGUAAGAACUCCGCUUCCC
ensembl:lncRNA